CAGGGCCGAUAAUGACGGUACCUGAGGAGGAAGCCACGGCUAACUACGUGCCAGCAGCCGCGGUAAUACGUAGGUGGCAAGCGUUAUCCGGAUUUACUGGGCGUAAAGGGAGCGUAGGCGGAUAAUUAAGUGGGAUGUGAAAUACCCGGGCUCAACUUGGGUGCUGCAUUCCAAACUGGUUAUCUAGAGUGCAGGAGAGGAGAGUGGAAUUCCUAGUGUAGCGGUGAAAUGCGUAGAGAUUAGGAAGAACACCAGUGGCGAAGGCGACUCUCUGGACUGUAACUGACGCUGAGGCUCGAAAGCGUGGGGAGCAAACAGGAUUAGAUACCCUGGUAGUC
rnacentral:rRNA from 1 species